rnacentral:misc_RNA from 1 species
UGUGUGCUGCUUCUUGUGGUCUGGC